rnacentral:tRNA from 1 species
UGGGGUGUGGCUCAGUGGUAGAGCACUUGCCUAGUGUGUAUGAGUCCCUGGAUUCCAUCUCUAGCACCCUCU